UGGGGGGGGGGUGCAUGCACCUGUCUGAAGGCGCCAUUGUCGCGGCGUGCCCAAAAGCUCACACCUCGUUAGAGCGCUUGUCGACGCAGACGCCACGUAGGCUGGAGGUCACGAGGGCAGGACAGCAGUAGAAACAAAACAGAAAAAAAAAGCAAACAGCGAAGACGCACGUGAAAGUCAUCUGAGUCGCGGGUCUGCCGCCGCCGCUGCUGCUGCUGCUGAGGACUCUGACAGUGCACGUGGUGUGUGGUAGCGGUUUGCAUGAGAGGGUUAGAGUGACCUCACGACACGCAGGGGACCUGAAGACUUGAAACGUUCUCUGCUCAGAACAGAUGUUCUUUCCUCUCCGUCCUUGGGGAUGAACCGGCCCGUGUUCCCACAGAGGGCUCCCACCGUCUGCUGAAACCUCUUCAGACUGAAAAUAAUGUGGGAAACACAUCUUCAUUCGGUCUGAUCUUGGGAAGGGUUUUGCUGGCUAAUGGCAAAAAAAGUGCUGCAACUAGUAAGGUGCGCAAUUACCUGCCAAAAGGAAUGUGGCUCCCUGGCUUCAACGGUGGAUUUUGUGAAAAAUACUGGAAACAGUUUAUUGAUUGCAUCGAAAACUUUUGCUCAGAACUGUUUUUGUAUGGCCUAUUUUUUUUUUUUCAUGCUGUAACACAUGUGUCGGCCCUUGGCCCUAAGAAUUAAAUACACGUUGCCUAU